CACGUAGGCGGACUGGAAAGUUGGAGGUGAAAUCCCAGGGCUCAACCUUGGAACUGCCCUCAAAACUAUCAGUCUGGAGUUCGAGAGAGGUGAGUGGAAUUCCGAGUGUAGAGGUGAAAUUCGUAGAUAUUCGGAGGAACACCAGUGGCGAAGGCGGCUCACUGGCUCGAUACUGACGCUGAGGUGCGAAAGUGUGGGGAGCAACA
rnacentral:rRNA from 1 species